GAACUUGUGCUAAUACCGUAUACGCCCCAAGGGGGAAAGAUUUAUCGGAAUUGGAUGAGCCCGCAUUGGAUUAGCUAGUUGGUGAGGUAACGGCUCACCAAGGCGACGAUCCAUAGCUGGUCUGAGAGGAUGAUCAGCCACACUGGGACUGAGACACGGCCCAGACUCCUACGGGAGGCAGCAGUGGGGAAUAUUGGACAAUGGGCGAAAGCCUGAUCCAGCCAUGCCGCGUGAGUGAUGAAGGCCUUAGGGUUGUAAAGCUCUUUCAGUGGGGAAGAUAAUGACGGUACCCACAGAAGAAGCCCCGGCUAACUUCGUGCCAGCAGCCGCGGUAAUACGAAGGGGGCUAGCGUUGUUCGGAUUUACUGGGCGUAAAGCGCACGUAGGCGGAUCGUUAAGUCGGGGGUGAAAUCCUGGAGCUCAACUCCAGAACUGCCUUCGAUACUGGCGAUCUUGAGUCCGGAAGAAGUGAGUGGAACUCCUAGUGUAGAG
rnacentral:rRNA from 1 species